rnacentral:rRNA from 1 species
CUACGGGACGCAGCAGUGAGGAAUAUUGCACAAUGGGGGGAACUCUGAUGCAGCAACGCCGCGUGGAGGAUGACACUUUUCGGAGCGUAAACUCCUUUUAUAUAGGAAGAAGAUGACGGUACUAUAUGAAUAAGCGCCGGCUAACUCCGUGCCAGCAGCCGCGGUAAUACGGAGGGCGCAAGCGUUACUCGGAAUCACUGGGCGUAAAGAGCGUGUAGGCGGAUUAAAAAGUCAGAAGUGAAAUCCUAUAGCUUAACUAUAGAACUGCUUCUGAAACUCUUAAUCUAGAAUAUGGGAGAGGUAGAUGGAAUUUCUGGUGUAGGGGUAAAAUCCGUAGAGAUCAGAAGGAAUACCGAUUGCGAAGGCGAUCUACUAGAACAUUAUUGACGCUGAGACGCGAAAGCGUGGGGAGCAAACAGGAUUAGAUACCCCAGUAGUC